UACGAAGGGGCUAGCGUUGCUCGGAAUCACUGGGCGUAAAGCGCACGUAGGCGGAUCUUUAAGUCAGGGGUGAAAUCCCAAGGCUCAACCUUGGAACUGCCUUUGAUACUGGGGAUCUCGAGUCCGGAAGAGGUGAGUGGAACUGCGAGUGUAGAGGUGAAAUUCGUAGAUAUUCGCAAGAACACCAGUGGCGAAGGCGGCUCACUGGUCCGGUACUGACGCUGAGGUGCGAAAGCGUGGGAGCAAACAGG
rnacentral:rRNA from 1 species